rfam:Stegodyphus mimosarum contig46184, whole genome shotgun sequence.
AAAAAGACCCUUUUCAGGGUCAUACAAAUGUAUCUUUUAUUUCUAU